UACAGAGGGUGCGAGCGUUAAUCGGAUUUACUGGGCGUAAAGGGCGCGUAGGCGGUUGUUUAAGUGAGAUGUGAAAUCCCUGGGCUUAACCUAGGAACUGCAUCUCAUACUGGACAGCUAGAGUAUUGUAGAGGGUAGUGGAAUUUCCGGUGUAGCGGUGAAAUGCGUAGAGAUCGGGAGGAACACCUGUGGCGAAGGCGGUGACCUGGACCGGUGCUGACGCUGAGGCGCGAAGGCGUGGGGAGCGAUCCGG
rnacentral:rRNA from 1 species